rnacentral:rRNA from 1 species
AUGAGCCCCUUCUGGCUUGGUUCCAUAUUCCAAGGCCCUUCCAUAAUCCAAUUCUUUGUCCCGAACCAUCCAUUGAAGAACAUAGAGUGUGCAGAAUAUCAGUUUGUUAUAUUUGCAUCAAAUGAACUAUGGGAGCACUUGAACAAUCAGGAAGUUGUGGAUAUAGUUCAUUGUUCACCUCGGAAUGUUAAACCGAAUGCUGUAUCGAAACAUGUAGUAUUUACUUGUAAAAGAGCAACUGAGAGCCUGGUGGGUCGGGAUGAAGGAAGAAUACCCCUGAGAGCCCAAACUCAAGUUCGAAAAUAUAUGCAGAAUAUAUGUUUGCCUCUGCUAUAUACAUAUGUAAUUUUCCAGUCUGUGUUUUCUGCUCCUCUUUGGCGCAAUGUGGAAGAUGUUGGUUUUAAAGGCUAG